rnacentral:lncRNA from 1 species
GUGGGAUAGUCUUGAAUUCCGGCCAGCAUUUCUGUCAAUUAGCGGAAGGCUCACACAUACUGGGAGGGUAUGGCUUCAAGGGAUGGACUAAGAUGAAGUAGAGAGCUAACAGUAAAAAAGAGUCUCCUAAGCAAAAUCUAGGUGAAGACGGUAACAAUAACACAUAACAAGCAGUCUUUAUGAACAAAUAAUGUACUUCAAGUCGGAACUAACAUAUACUGCAUGUGCUU